UGGGGAAUAUUGCGCAAUGGACGAAAGUCUGACGCAGCGACGCCGCGUGUGGGAGGAAGCUCUUCGGGGUGUAAACCACUGUCGGAGGGGAAGAACGGCGUCUGGUCGAACAGGCCAGGUGAUUGACGGUACCCUCAAAGGAAGCGCCGGCUAACUCCGUGCCAGCAGCCGCGGUAAGACGGAGGGCGCAAGCGUUGUUCGGAUUUACUGGGCGUAAAGGGCGCGUAGGCGGUUUGUUAAGUCGGAUGUGAAAACUGGGGGCUCAACCCUCAGCCUGCAUCCGAUACUGGCAGACUAGAGUGCGAGAGGGGAAGGCGGAAUUCCUGGUGUAGCGGUGAAAUGCGUAGAUAUCAGGAGGAACACCGGUGGCGAAGGCGGCCUUCUGGAUCGCAACUGACGCUGAGGCGCGAAAGCUAGGGGAGCAA
rnacentral:rRNA from 1 species